AAAAAGAGUACCAGACAGCAUAGCCAUCAGUAAAGCACAUCUCAGUACCUCCCAGCCCUGCCUCUGCGGGCACCCUGCUGACACAGCUGGAAGGCAGCUCACAUGCAAGGCUGCCCAGUCUGCCUGCAGGCACAAAACCAACUUCAAAAACCCAAGUGCCCCCACAGGGAGUGUGGGUUUUCCAGUGAACUUGGCCACAAGAAUCAGUCCAGAGUGCAGAGCACAGAUGUCCCAGGAGUGAAUGUCACCCUGUGCUAGAUCUUGAAGGCAAAGUGGGGGAGGUGACUCAUUUAGGGAGGGGAAGUGCCAUUGACCACCCCCCCACACAAGGCUGAUGUAGUCUCCAGUGAUAGAAAAAUCUGGACAUGUUUGUGCAAGGCAAACUAUAGUGGACCUGAAGAACCUCAAAAAAAUAUUUUCCUUUUGAGGAAAACUUCAAUUAUGGAGAAAAGUUCAUGUAAUGCUGUUUCAGUCAUGUGUUACCAAGUUACCAAUGACCCCCAACUCUUCUGGCUUAAAACAAUCACCCUACGUUAUUUCUCACAUCCUGCAAGAUGGACAGGGCUCAGCUGGAUAGUUCUUCUGCUCUGUAUGGUAUCUGUCACAGCCAAGUGUCCAAGAUGGCUUCCUGCUCUUAGUGCUGCACCCCAGCUGGGGCCGCAGGAAGAGAUGUGGGCUGCUGAGCAAUUGUCCCCUUCCAUGUGGCCUUGCUUGAGCUUCCUCCCUGUACCAUGGCCUCGGGGUGGGCCAGUGUUUUCAUGAUUGCUGGAUUCCCAGAGGGUGCAAGAUGCAACAUGGUCUCCACACUCAUUAUUCCCUGGCUCCUUGAAGCAGCUCAGGAGAUAGGG
rnacentral:lncRNA from 1 species